UAACAUAUUAAAACUUUGCAACAACGGAUCUCUUGGUUCUAGGCAUCGAUGAAGAACGCAGACGAACAUGCGAUAAGUAGUGUGAACUUCGCAGAAGUGUCAGUGAAUCAUCGAAUCUUUGAAGCGCACAUUGCGCCCUUCGGUAUUCCGUUGGGCAUGCCUGUUCGAGCGUCAUUUAAACCUUCAAGCUAUGCUUGGUGUCUAGGCGUGUUCUGUUCCGCCUCAGACGCGUGGACUCGCCUUAAAUUCAUUGGCAGCCGGUAUGUUGGCUUCGUGCGCAGCACAUUGCAAGCGACUUCAGCAUACCCCCUUCCACAAGCCUUUUUUUUAGCUUUUGACCUCGGAUCAGGUAGGGGAUACCCGCUGAACUUAAGCAUAUCAA
rnacentral:rRNA from 1 species